rnacentral:rRNA from 1 species
GAGGGCGGCGUGCUAUAAUGCAAGUCGAGCGAGCUUGCCUAGAUGAUUUUAGUGCUUGCACUAAGUGAAACUAGAUACAAGCUAGCGGCGGACGGGUGAGUAACACGUGGGUAACCUGCCCAAGAGACUGGGAUAACACCUGGAAACAGAUGCUAAUACCGGAUAACAACACUAGACGCAUGUCUAGAGUUUAAAAGAUGGUUCUGCUAUCACUCUUGGAUGGACCUGCGGUGCAUUAGCUAGUUGGUAAGGUAACGGCUUACCAAGGCAAUGAUGCAUAGCCGAGUUGAGAGACUGAUCGGCCACAUUGGGACUGAGACACGGCCCAAACUCCUACGGGAGGCAGCAGUAGGGAAUCUUCCACAAUGGACGCAAGUCUGAUGGAGCAACGCCGCGUGAGUGAAGAAGGGUUUCGGCUCGUAAAGCUCUGUUGGUAGUGAAGAAAGAUAGAGGUAGUAACUGGCCUUUAUUUGACGGUAAUUACCUAGAAAGUCACGGCUAACUACGUGCCAGCAGCCGCGGUAAUACGUAGGUGGCAAGCGUUGUCCGGAUUUAUUGGGCGUAAAGCGAGUGCAGGCGGUUCAAUAAGUCUGAUGUGAAAGCCUUCGGCUCAACCGGAGAAUUGCAUCAGAAACUGUUGAACUUGAGUGCAGAAGAGGAGAGUGGAACUACAUAGCGAAUG